CCCUGACUACCAUUAUCACAAUUCUGUGGGUAGACACUAGCCACGACAGGAGAACAACAUG
rnacentral:sRNA from 12 species